AAUUAAUUUAGCAUCGGCCUGUAAGUGUGUUUUUUCUGUUCGAUCCUUAACUUAAAUUUAAAUUAAAAGAAAUUAAUAAAAAAAAAAGUUUUCAUUUGUUCUGAAAAAUCACAAAUUCACAUCUAAUCUAAUUCAAAUUUUCAACCAGGCCGAACUUUAUAUUUAUAAUAGUUGUAACACAGGGCUCCCAAAAAUAUACGACACAACUUACAAACAAUCAGUGAAGAAAACCAAGACCUGCUUGGACAAUUAUUAAUCCAAAAAAUCCAAACAAACAAAUCAACAACAAACAAAAAAAGCAAACUAAAAUCUCACUAAUACGGGACAAGAAGCAAACAAAAGAAAAAAAAGAAAAAAACUGUUUUGUAGGAACCUCUUUUUUCAAGUUUAUUAGUUAAUUGGCAAAAAGAGGACUCCUCGACACCGACAAAAUUUAAUUUUCUUUCUAUUUUUCAAAUAAUUAAAAAAAAGUUAAAAA